rnacentral:rRNA from 1 species
GACGAACGCUGGCGGCGUGCUUAACACAUGCAAGUCGAACGGUGAAGGGACCGGUUUUUGCUGGUUCUGGAUGAGUGGCGAACGGGUGAGUAACACGUGAGUAACCUGCCCCCUUCUUCUGGAUAACCGCAUGAAAGUGUGGCUAAUACGGGAUAUUCUGCGCCUGCUGCAUGGUGGGUGUGGGAAAGAUAUUGUUUCGGUGGGGGAUGGGCUCGCGGCCUAUCAGCUUGUUGGUGGGGUGAUGGCCUACCAAGGCGGUGACGGGUAGCCGGCCUGAGAGGGUGGACGGUCACACUGGGACUGAGACGCGGCCCAGACUCCUACGGGAGGCAGCAGUGGGGAAUAUUGCACAAUGGGCGCAAGCCUGAUGCAGCGACGCCGCGUGAGGGAUGGAGGCCUUCGGGUUGUAAACCUCUUUCGCCAGUGAAGCAGGCCUGUCCCUUUUGUGGGUGGGUUGACGGUAGCUGGAUAAGAAGCGCCGGCUAACUACGUG